CACAAUUUAAACAUUAAUUAACUGAAAUAAAUAGAUCCUUUCUACAGAAGAAUGAAUCAUAUCUCACAACUGGCUGUGGGUAUAGGGUGUAGAUACAUUCUAGCCUCAGUACAGCUGCAAGACUUAAAACUGCCAGACACAUGAAAAUGACUUUGAACAAUGAAUGAUGCUAAAAUCCCUGGAUUACUCUGCUGAAGCAUAGCACAAGAAUAAUAAUGAUGAGAGCCUGAAGCAACGUCAAGUUGUCUGGGGGAAGAUGAUAUGUUGCAAAGAUCGAUGCGCCAGGUGAUUCCGUUGGGACGUAGCUUUGCGGAGUAGUUAUGCUCCUGAUGGCAAUAAGCAGAAGCUGCUCCGUGCAAGAUCAAUUGGCACAUUCUGAGAAAUUUUAGUUCGAACAUCAGGGAAAAUGUUACUUGGACAAAAUAUUCCCAAUUCACAUGCAAAUAAAAUUGUUUGCACAAAUGGGUAAGGUCUUGCCUCAUUGAAACUCUGGCUCCCUUUAGGAUGUUCAUGCCGAGUCGUCAA